rnacentral:rRNA from 1 species
UACGGGGGGGGCAAGCGUUGUUCGGAAUUACUGGGCGUAAAGGGCUCGUAGGCGGCCAACUAAGUCGGAUGUGAAAUCCCCAGGCUCAACCUGGGAACUGCAUCCGAUACUGGAUGGCUUGAAUUCGGGAGAGGGAUGCAGAAUUCCAGGUGUAGCGGUGAAAUGCGUAGAUAUCGGAAGGAACAUCAGUGGCGAAAGCGGCUUCCUGGACCAGUACCGACGUUCAGGCACGAAAGCGUGGGGAGCAAACAGG